UACGUAGGUGGCAAGCGUUGUCCGGAAUUAUUGGGCGUAAAGCGCGCGCAGGCGGCCUCUUAAGUCUGAUGUGAAAGCCCCCGGCUCAACCGGGGAGGGCCAUUGGAAACUGGGAGGCUUGAGUAUAGGAGAGAAGAGUGGAAUUCCACGUGUAGCGGUGAAAUGCGUAGAGAUGUGGAGGAACACCAGUGGCGAAGGCGACUCUUUGGCCUACAACUGACGCUGAGGCGCGAAAGCGUGGGGAGCAAACAGG
rnacentral:rRNA from 1 species